AUAAAUUGUAAACUAGAGAACGAGUUUAUUUAUAUUUAAAAAGUGGGUGAAAUGGCGUUCCGUAAUUUGGGAACAUAAACUGACAAAAGUUACUUUUGGAUUGUAAUGUUUUGAUCGAUUUUCAAGCACUUCGCUGGAAAUGUCGGAAAGCUCAAGUCGAACGUUUCUGGCUUUAUAAACGAUUGCAUAGCCAAGCAAAGCAUAUUAACUGAGAGCCAGCCCAAAAUCAGUUUAGUGGUGAGACCAGAAGAAUGUGGCCAGGAAGAGGAAGUUUAUUGUAUCUGCUGUAGCUCAGACGGACCCACCACCAUGGUGAAUGCAUUCUUUGUUAUUAUGUAAAUUACUGCAACCAAUGUGACUAGUUGGUGAAAACCACAUCAGCUGUGUUACUGAAUUUGUCUAACUUUUUGCCUCUAGCAGAAAGAGGUUAAGAUAAUAGCAUAAGAAGAGGAAAGUGUUGUAAAACCAGUCUUGAAAGAGGCCAAAUCUUCCUAUCAUGAUGUAUGAGAGCCGAGCCAAGCCAAUGGUAAUACCCCAUUCUAGCUAGAAAAACCAAGAAGAAAACAUGAUUCCUAUGCUACUUCUGGGAACUUUAACACCAUAACACCCAACAGCAUGUCAUAGAAUACCAAAUAGUCCUAUUGUAUUUUUAACAUACUACUUCGUUGAAGUUAAUACUGGAAAACACCACUGACAUGCCAUAGCUCAAACCUUCACAAAAUUCAAAGUUUUGACCUUCGUCGCCUAGCCCCGCCGUGCCAUCUUCGCCUCGCCCGUCGUGCCAUCUUCGCCUCGCCCGUCGUGCCAUCUUCGCCUCGCCCGUCGUGCCAUCUUCGCCUCGCCCGUCGUGCCAUCUUCGCCUCGCCCGUCGUGCCGUCUUCGCCUCACCCGCCACCCCGUUUUCGCCUCGCCCCGUCAUCGCCUCAUCUUUGUGGUAUCGUUUUAUUUUGUAGUGUGUAACUGUAUAGUGUUAAUUAACCCGUUGGCUGCCACCCACUUUGAUCCCCUUUUUUUUAAAGCUUGUUAGGGUCCGGCAGCGCUGUUCUGCCCAAUGGUCUAUAUGCCAUGGGUGGGACAGUUGCACAAGCCGUGUGGCUCAAAGUCGAUCGUCGAGGCAAUGUACCAGUAGGGACUUCCCCUUUUUCGAUGCUUUGAUGGUUGCCUGGAGUGUACAUUCUCACAAAGGCUUCUGUCAUCGUGUCAGCCCGGAUUUGUCGUAGGACAAGUCCACCUUGGUCGCAAUCCAUUCGAUAGCGAUGUAGUUAGCGUAGAUUUAGUGGCGUGGCAGCCAACGGGUUAGUUUUAUGUAUGUGUGUUUUGUAUUGUAUUGUAUUAAAAAUCUUGUGGUGGAUUUGUGGGUGGUUGGAGGGACAAUAAAGAAUUUUAUUUAUA